UACAGAGGGUGCAAGCGUUAAUCGGAAUUACUGGGCGUAAAGCGUGCGUAGACGGUCAUGUAAGUCGGGUGUGAAAGCCCCCGGGCUCAACCUGGGAAUUGCAUUCGAGACUGCAUGGCUAGGAUGCGGAAGAGGGAAGCGGAAUUUCCGGUGUAGCGGUGAAAUGCGUAGAUAUCGGAAGGAACACCAGUGGCGAAAAGCGGCUUCCUGGUCCAGCAUCGACGUCAGGCACGAAAGCGUGGGGAGCAAACAGG
rnacentral:rRNA from 1 species